rnacentral:rRNA from 1 species
CAGCCGCCGCGGUAAUACCGGCGGCCCGAGUGGCGGUCACUAUUAUUGGGCUUAAAGCGUCCGUAGCCGGGUUGGGAAGUCCUCCGGGAAAUCUGGCCGCUUAACGGUCAGAAUGCCGGAGGAUACUCCCAGCCUAGGGAGCGGGAGAGGCCGAGGGGAUUCCCGGGGUAGGGGUGAAAUCCUAUAAUCCCGGGAGGACCACCUGUGGGGAAGGCGCUCGGCUGGGACGCGUCCGACGGUGAGGGACGAAGGCCAGGAGAGCAAACCGGAUUAGAUACCCGGGUAGUCCUGGCUGUAAACGAUGCGGACUUUGUGUCGGACAAACUAUGAGCUUGUCCGGUGCCGGAGGGAAGCCGUUAAGUCCGCCGCCUGGGGAGUACGGCCGCAAGGCUGAAACUUAAAGGAAUUGGCGGG